rnacentral:rRNA from 1 species
AAUAGAUACCCAGGUAGUCCACGCCGUAAACGGUGGGCACUAGGUGUGGGCGGCAUUCCACGUCGUCCGUGCCGUAGCUAACGCAUUAAGUGCCCCGCCUGGGGAGUACGGCCGCAAGGCUAAAAACUCAAAGGAAUUGACGGGGGGCCCGCACAAGCGGCGGAGCAUGUGGCUUAAUUCGACGCAACGCGAAGAACCUUACCAAGGCUUGACAUACACCGGAAACAUCCAGAGAUGGGUGCCCCCCUUGUGGUCGGUGUACAGGUGGUGCAUGGCUGUCGUCAGCUCGUGUCGUGAGAUGUUGGGUUAAGUCCCGCAACGAGCGCAACCCUUGUCCCGUGUUGCCAGCAGGCCCUUGUGGUGCUGGGGACUCACGGGAGACCGCCGGGGGUCAACUCGGAGGAAGGUGGGGACGACGUCAAGUCAUCAUGCCCCUUAUGUCUUGGGCUGCACACGUGCUACAAUGGCCGGUACAAAGAGCUGCGAUGCCGUGAGGCGGAGCGAAUCUCAAAAAGCCGGUCUCAGUUCGGAUUGGGGU